rnacentral:rRNA from 1 species
CCUACGGGGGGCUGCAGUGGGGAAUGUUGGACAAUGGGGGGAACCCUGAUCCAGCCAUGCCGCGUGUGUGAAGAAGGCCCUCGGGUUGUAAAGCACUUUCAGUGAGGAAGAACGCCUGGUGGUUAAUACCCAUCAGGAAAGACAUCACUCACAGAAGAAGCACCGGCUAACUCCGUGCCAGCAGCCGCGGUAAUACGGAGGGUGCGAGCGUUAAUCGGAAUUACUGGGCGUAAAGCGCGCGUAGGUGGCUUGAUAAGCCGGUUGUGAAAGCCCCGGGCUCAACCUGGGAACGGCAUCCGGAACUGUCAAGCUAGAGUGCAGGAGAGGAAGGUAGAAUUCCCGGUGUAGCGGUGAAAUGCGUAGAGAUCGGGAGGAAUACCAGUGGCGAAGGCGGCCUUCUGGACUGACACUGACACUGAGGUGCGAAAGCGUGGGUAGCAAACAGGAUUAGAUACCCCGGUAGUC